rnacentral:ncRNA from 1 species
AUAUCUGGGGUGCUGUAAAAGGCUGAGAAAAACCAUGGUUUUAACCCAUAAUACCUGAUACGGAUAAUGCUGGCGUAGGAAGAUAUGAA